rnacentral:rRNA from 1 species
UGUCGUGUUUCUGGCAUUGAGGUCACACCUGUUCCCAUCUCGAACACAGAAGUUAAGCUCAAUCGCGCCGAAUGUACUUGGAGGUAUGCUUCCUGGAAGACUAGGGCAAUGCGACGC